AUCCUCUCCUUCAGAAGCAGGCCCAUAGCGUCCGCCUCCGCCCCUCUGGCGCCCAUGCCCGGCGUCUGAGAGCCAUGGGCUAGUGGAAGGGCUAAAACUGAAUCUAGGGUUUUGGUAUUGAGGGCCUUGAGAGAUGGAGAGGAGGAGAGUGAGGCGGAGAUAAGGGGGCGCAGGGAGAAGGAAGAGGGCUUGGGGAAAGAGGUGGUGCGGAGAUUGGGAAACCCUAGGGAGGGAAGUGGAGAAGAAACUGAGAGCAGGCCCAUUGAAAAAAAAUCAGUGAGAGUGAG
rnacentral:lncRNA from 1 species